UGGGGGAUAUUGCACAAUGGGCGAAAGCCUGAUGCAGCGACGCCGCGUGGGGGAUGAAGGCUUUCGGGUUGUAAACCUCUUUCGCUAUCGAACAAGGCUCAUUUUUUGGUGGGUUGAGGGUAGGUGGAGAAGAAGCGCCGGCUAACUACGUGCCAGCAGCCGCGGUAAUACGUAGGGCGCGAGCGUUGUCCGGAAUUAUUGGGCGUAAAGGGCUUGUAGGCGGCUUGUUGCGCCUGCUGUGAAAACGCGGGGCUUAACUUCGCGCGUGCAGUGGGUACGGGCAGGCUUGAGUGUGGUAGGGGUGACUGGAAUUCCAGGUGUGGCGGUGGAAUGCGCAGAUAUCUGGAGGAACACCGAUGGCGAAGGCAGGUCACUGGGCCAUUACUGACGCUGAGGAGCGAAAGCAUGGGUAGCGAACAGG
rnacentral:rRNA from 1 species